CGCGCCUCGCCUACCUCCCCGGCCCGCGGGAACCCGAGCCCGUGGGCCCCGCCCUGGCACGUGCCUGCGCGAGUACACCAGCCACGUUUCAAGACUCAGGAGCCACGUGUGAUUGGGACAGCACUGACAUAAAGGGCCUGGCACGAGUUAAGUUCUCAGCCAAGUUCAGCUGUUAUCACCGGAGAUCUGGAAGACGUCUGCACUUUAGGGGUCUCCAAACUAAAGCAACCAGAAGAGUCCCCAUUAACGGCUUUGUUUUUGGACCCAGAGCAGUUCACCAGCAAGGACAAGAAUUUAAUCAAUUCACAGAUGUGCAGGUCUGCUUAAGAGCAGAGUGCCAUCUAAUAGAUCUUAUCGCCGGCUGUUAUAGACAGAAGCACUUUCUCCUGACACAAGACUACUACUGUUGGAUCUAUUAAUACGCCAAUUUUAGAGGUUUUACAUAUGAAUGAAGUAAAGAGGCUCUUUUGCUGUCAGCUACCAGGCCAAAAUCUCAGAUCUACCAAAAAUCUGCAUUUAAAUGUAUACUUCAGGUAAUGCUACAUAACAAGCACAGAAACUACGUCUCUGCUCCCAGCCUCUCACCACUGUUCUACUUACUCCUGGGAUCUUUCCUAACUCCACCUAGCACUGUGUUCUACAGACUGACUAUAAACCAAAGAUUGACUGUACGUGGGACUUCUACAACUCACACCAGAAUGCAUCCUGUCCCAAGAGACUUGGAGAAACUAGGCUCCCCAACUCCUGGGAAAAGAUUAGAGGCAGCAUUCCAAGCCAAACUGUAUCCAGCUUUAUUAAAGAUACUUUUCAUAAACAAUCAUGGUAUUUCAGGCAGGACAUGGGCAGACAAUCGGUAACAGUAUACAACAACUUUCAAACUCCCUUCUUCAAUGGACUACCAAAAUCAGAAAGCCACUAUAAAACCCAACGAAGUCUUCAUGUGAUGCUCUCAACAGGGCAAGUUUAGAGUGAGGGUUGACGUUUCACAUUUAGCAUGUUGUUUAACAACUUUUCACAAGCCGACCCUGACUUUCAGGAAAUGAAAUGAAAAUGGCAGAACUAUCAAUCUGAAGAUCCACAAUCUAAAUAAGGGAACUGCUGCUCUUUUGAGGGAUGCCAUCUCAAUGGUGACACUGGCAAGUCCAGAUUGCCUGACAUACUAGUAACCAAUUUUUGGGGGUCAGGUCUCAAGAGGUCUCUGGGUUUAAGGGAGUCAGGUCUAUGCUGAAGGCGGAGAGGGUGAAGACAUAAAAACAAAUUUUAGUUUUUCCACACCACCAGGCGUUUGUGCCAAGGUGGCGCAUGUGUGUCAACAUCAAGAGAUCUCUCCUCCUGGGAACCAAGAGGAAGGUCUCUCAAAACUAGAAGGGAAAGAUGUUUUUUUCCCCAUGUCAAUCCAGCUUCGGAGACAUUCUAUUAGUGACAUAUGCCCUUCCCCGAAAAACAA